rnacentral:rRNA from 1 species
AAUCAACGCUGGCGGCGUGCCUCAGACAUGCAAGUCGAACGAGAAGUCCCCUUCGGGGGAUGGAUAGUGGCGCACGGGUGAGUAACACGUGGGUAAUUUACCUUUGGGUGGGGAACAACAGCCGGAAACGGCUGCUAAUACCGCAUAAUGCAGCGGCUCCUCAUGGAGACAGUUGUUAAAGCGGGGGAUCGCAAGACCUCGCGCCUGAAGAGAAGCCCGCGGCAGAUAGCUAGUUGGUAAGGUAAUGGCUUACCAAGGCGACGAUCUGUAACCGGCCUGAGAGGGCGGUCGGUCACACUGACACUGACAUACGGGUCAGACUCCUACGGGAGGCAGCAGUCGGGAA